GAAUGUAGAAGUUUGAUAUUCCAAAGUUCAUUAAGCUUGAAUUAGAGUGUGAUUCCUGAAUUUAGUAUUAUUUGAUGUGAUUUGAGGGCCCGAGUAGGCUCGUGUUAUGUUAUAGGACUUGUUUGCAUGAUUGGAUGGGGUCCCGAGGGCCUUGGGUGUGUUUUGGGGUGGUUUCCGAACCAAAUUGAGUGAUUUGAUGUUGUUGUUGUUGUUGAAUCUGGUUUCCUUCUUCGCGAAUACAAAGGGAAUCCCUCGUUCGCGAAUAGGAACUUUGAAGCAGCUGGGUUUUGGCCUUCGCGAACGUGAGGCAUUGAACAUGAACGCGAACACGAGGCUGGAGCUGGGUAAGCCUUCGUGAACGCGGCCAAGGCUAAGCAAACGCUAAGAGGAAAGAAGGCUUGGGGGAGUUGGAG
rnacentral:lncRNA from 1 species